ensembl:snoRNA
AGCACCUGUGUUUAUUUUUGUCUACCUUGUGGACAAAGACUUAGAGAUAGAUGCAAAAAAAAAAAAAAAUCCUCUUUUGCAACCCAGAACUCAUUGCCAAGUAUGAGUUUUGAAACAUAUAAGGAAUAUUAUG